rnacentral:rRNA from 1 species
GUCGAGCGGCAGCGGGGAGUAGCUUGCUACUUUGCCGGCGAGCGGCGGACGGGUGAGUAACGCGUGGGAAUCUACCCAUUUGUGGGGGAUAACUUGGGGAAACCCAAGCUAAUACCGCAUAAUCCCUACGGGGGAAAGCAGGGGAUCUUCGGACCUUGCGCAGAUGGAUGAGCCCGCGUCGGAUUAGCUAGUUGGUAGGGUAAAGGCCUACCAAGGCGACGAUCCGUAACUGGUCUGAGAGGAUGACCAGUCACAUCGGGACUGAGACACGGCCCGAACUCCUACGGGAGGCAGCAGUGGGGAAUCUUGGACAAUGGGGGCAACCCUGAUCCAGCCAUGCCGCGUGUGUGAAGAAGGCCCUAGGGUUGUAAAGCACUUUCAGUAGGGAGGAAGGCUUCGGGUUAAUACCCUGGAGUACUUGACGUUACCUACAGAAGAAGCACCGGCUAAUUUCGUGCCAGCAGCCGCGGUAAUACGAAAGGUGCGAGCGUUAAUCGGAAUUACUGGGCGUAAAGCGCGCGUAGGCGGUUAGUUAAGUCGGAUGUGAAAGCCCAGGGCUCAACCUUGGAACUGCAUCCGAUACUGGCUAGCUAGAGUGCAGUAGA